UGUAUGUUGACGUAUUCUGAAAGGGAUACGUUCUUCGGACAAUAUAACAAGGUGCUGCAUGGUUGUCGUCAGCUCGUGCCGUGAGGUGUCGGGUUAAGUCCCAUAACGAGCGCAACCCCUAUCAUUAGUUGCCAUCAGGUCAAGCUGGGGACUCUAAUGAAACUGCCUACGCAAGUAGUGAGGAAGGUGGGGAUGACGUCAAAUCAGCACGGCCCUUACGGCCUGGGCUACACACGUGCUACAAUGGUCGGUACAAAGGGUUGCCAAGCCGCGAGGUGGAGCUAAUCCCAUAAAACCGAUCGUAGUCCGGAUCGCAGUCUGCAACUCGACUGCGUGAAGUCGGAAUCGCUAGUAAUCGUGAAUCAGAAUGUCACGGUGAAUACGUUCCCGGGCCUU
rnacentral:rRNA from 1 species